AGGGAGGCACCUUAUAUAUCAUCUACAGCCCUAGCCGUCGUCUACACCACGCCAUUCACCAAGAACACAUCCAUCUCCAUCUCCAUUGCUGCUCCAUCACCACCAUAGAGGAAGGGACAAGAUCAAGGGAAGAAGAGAGGGCUCCACCAUCGCGAGCACCGGCCUUCGGGCCGGUGCCAUCUUCACCGUGUCGGCACCUCCAUCGGCACCGCCCCCGUCAUCACCACCGGCGCCGCCAUGCCUUCUUCCUUCACCGACUCUAGGCCGACUUGUAACUUAACUCUCUCCUUAAUGUUUGAGUAUAUGUAUUUCUUCUGAAGGAUACAGAUGAACUACUUUAUGAUUAGAAUCAUUAUCAUUCCUAAGUGAUCCAAUAUGCUCUUGUUCAUGUUCAAGUUAGUAUUCUCGCGGGUGUUGGGAGGAGGUCUCACUUGCACUUUUGUCGUGAUUGGCCGUGGAGGAACUACUGUCGUUGUAUGGGUUAGAGCAUCUCUAGCAGUUGGCCCCCCAGGGGGCGCCUAAAAUCGCCGCCUGGGGGUGAGCCGGCGCAAAAAAUGGGCAUGGGGGCGAAUUGGUCCCCAGCCGCCGGCCCCAGGGCCGCCCCCAGGCGCUUUUAAAAAAUAAAAAGUAUAGCAAAUUUCGGCACAGUUCGGCUAAACACGACAAAUUUCGGCCAACUUGAUCAUAUAUUUGGACAAAGUUCGCCGAUUUUCAUUACAUAGCAAAUAUAUAAUAAACUAAUCUAAAACAAACUGGCUGGACACCGAGUAGUCGCCGUCGUCGCCGCCAUCCUCGUCGUCGGCCUUCUCCUCCUUGACGCGGGCGCCCCUGCUGGACCCAGCGUCGCCAUGGCGGACUGGUGGCGGUGGCGGCGCGUCAUCGUCGUCGCUGUCGUCGAUGACGACGACUCCUCCUUCGCCGCGGCCUUGGCGGCGUUCCGCGAAGCGCUGCAGGGCGGCGCACUAGCGCUCCAUCACCAUCUUGAGGGAGUCCUGGCAUGCCCAUUCAAGGGCCGCAUCGUCGUCGCGCUCGACCUCGCCGUGCUCCGUCUUCACGGCGGCGAGCCCCGGCCCCGUCUUUGGCUUGACGAAGCGCGAAGGAGGAGCCGACGAGGAGGCGCGCCGGCCGCCCUAAUUGAUGACGAUGCCGGCGCUGCAAGUGCGCCGGGCGAGCGGCGUCUCCGCCGCAGGCUCGGCCUUGACGCCGAGCAGCGCCGGAGUGCCGGAGGAGUGCGAGGAAGAGCGCGAGGAGGAGGAAGAAGAGGAGGAGCCAAACCUCCUUGGCACCCAUGGCCCGUCGCGUCGGUGGUGCGCCUGGGCGGCCGCCCUCGCCGGGGGGUACGCCAAUGGCGGGUCGUUGUCGCCCUCGAGGUGCGUCAGCACGCCCUCGAGUGUGCGGCCGGGGACGCCCCACCACAGGUGGCGCCCCUCGCUAUUCUUCAGGCCGCCGACCACCGCCGCGCCAUUGGUGGACGCCAUCCGCUGCUGCUAACGGCGCUCGAAGUACGCCGCCCAAGUCGCAUGGUUGUCGGCGGCGUACUAGGGGAGGGAGAGUUGGGCGGCGGUGAGGGAGGCACGCACGACGUCGACCUACUCGGCGAAGUAGGCGGGUUUGGCCACGGCGUCGGGAAACAGAGGAAUGGGCACUCCCCCGUUGUUGAGCCUCCAGCCCGUCGGCCCGGCGCGCAUGUCCAGCGGCGCCGGGAUGUUCGCCUGGAAUAGGAGCCAGGACUCCUGUUCGCUGAGCGUGCGGCGGCCGAAGCCGUUGGCCGCCGCCUCGUCUCCGGGGAAACGCUCGGCCAUCGGGGAGGGGAGGGAGAGGGGAGGAGCUGGGCAGCGGCGCUCGGGAGAGGGGAAGGCUCGGUGGCGGCACUCGGGAGAGGUAUAGCUCGGCGGCGAUGGCUGAGCUGGUGUGGCCACAGGCGAGCGAGGCCACCGGCUUAUAUAGCCGCGCCGCGCCCGUGUGUACACGUGCGAGGGAGGGGAGGCGUCGGCACGCCGUCCCGUGAUGCGCCGCCCGUGAGGAAUCAAUGGCAAGGCUGACAGCCUUGCCAUUGAUCCCCCACCGGAACCGAGGCGUUGGGGGAAGACGAGGCGCGGUGUCGCUGAUGCGGCUGGCCCGCAGCUUUUUCGCGCCAAAACCACUUGCCCCGGCACCCCCGGGCGCCCCCCAGUGCGUCGGGUUUGGUCUGGGUCCGCCGGCGCUGAUUUCGGCCCAGACCGGCGAAAAUCGGGCUUCUGGGGGCGCGACUGGGCCGUUUUUUCAGCGCCGGCGUGAAAAAGAUCGCCUGGGGAGGCCUUCCUGGGGGCGCGGCUGGAGAUGCUCUUAGGAUGAUGAGGGAAUUUGAGGUGAUACUAAAACCUCACUUCCUUAAUUGACUCCUUUGUGAUAACCGGCAUGGGGAAGCAUCAGUUGGUGAAGUAUGUAGCUUGAAGUCUACUUUAGAGUAGAACAUGUUCUGUACUGAGGAGCGGCCACUUAUGCAUAUGAAGGGUGGAUAGAGGAUACGAAAGAGAGUGUUUGCUCUGCACUACUUGCACGGGUCAUAUUUGUGGUGAUGACUCCGCAGUCCUAGAAAACACUUUCCUACUCAAGCACCUUCAGCACUAACGUAGUAUAUUUUUAUUACUGUUUACGUUCUUAUUCGUAAUUUAGUUAAACACCAUUUUUAUCUAGUUUCCCUAGCAAAUUACAGAGUAUAUUAUUUUCAAACUCUGGUUUGGGUGCGUACGUAGCCAUGUGAAGUGACAACGUAGUUGUGAGGUCUGUGAUGCCUUCCAACCAGCUCCUUGUGGGUUCAACACUUAUCAUGAAAGUGCUACAAGAGCCCUGUGCACUUGCAAGUCAUCAGAUGUUUACUUUUUCAUACAUGCUCUACAAUUUUGUAUACAACUAAAAGAAUAUUUUUACAUUUUUUAAAUACAUAUAUAACAUUUUUUACAAAACACAUUUGUUUAAAAUACACAUUGGAAAUUUUUCUAAAUAACAAAACAUUUUUUCUGAACUAUGCACUUUCUACAUUGUACAAACAUUUUUCUAAAAAUGUCAUGAACACAUUUUUACAUUUUUGAAACAAGUUAACAUUUUUCUUAAUGUAACAAAAAAAAUCAAUUUAUGAAUCAUUUUUUAGUUACACGUACAUUCUUUUACAAUGUAUAACAUUUUUUUAAAUGUCACGUGCAUUAUUCUAAAACAUUUUUCAUGCACAUGAUUAAGAUUUUUCAUACACAAGAAUAAAGUUUCAUGUAAAGUAUGUAAUUUCAUGUAAAAUUACAUACAUAUAUAAAUAAAUAAAUAAAGAAAAAAAAGGAAAAACUAAUAUGUGAAUAAAAAAGGAAGAAAAAAAUUACAUGAUGUAAACAUGAUGAUAAGCCAUGGUAGGACUCGCCAAUCCCUAUUCGGCGCUGCAAGCGCCGGUUCAGGCCAUUUUCGUAGUGAGUGGCUGGCCCAUAUACGUUCUGUCUUUUUUCUUUGUUUUUUCGUCUUUUUCGUUUCUCUUUCUUUUCCGGUUUCCAUUUUUGUUUUGUUUCUUUUAUUUUUUCUGAAAUUUUUUCAAAUUUGUGGAUUUUCCCCCAAAUUCAUGAACUUCUUAAAAUCCGUGGAUGUUUUAGUGCAUGAACUUUUAAAAUAAAUAGUGAAACAUGAACUUUUAGGUCAGGAUUUUCUUUUCAAAUUCACGUCUUUUUCAAUUUCCAUAAUAUAUUUUUAAAAAUUAUGACCUUUUCAAAUUCCACGAGCUUUUUAAUUCAUGAACUUUUUCCAAAUAUGUGAAGUUUGUCAUCAUGAACUUUUCUAAAAAGUAAUGAAAAUUUUCCAUUUCCACGAACUUUCUAUAGUUGUAUAAACCUAUUCAAAUUCAUCAACUUUUUUCAAGUUCAUGAGUUUUUUUACAAUUUUUUGUGAAUCCCUUUUUUAAAACUUCUUUUUAAUUUUUGUAUGAUUCAUUAGUGAACUAAUAAUAAUAACAAUAAAGAGAACUAAAAACAAAAUUCUUAGUAAAUCCGCACGUCCUACAUUCAGUGACCACCACAAACCCAGUUUUUUUUUUUUUUUGAGGGAAACCACAAACCCGGUUGUGCGUCAACCCUGUGCGUCGAGCUGCUGUAUGACGCAAAAUGCGUCACAUAGAAGGUCCCGUAAGACACUGUAGGACCGGUUCGGAAGUCAGUCAUGAAAUGGGCCGUGAACGGAGAGAUUUUGGACUACAACGCUGCCAACCCAUUUAUUUAUUGUCAUAUUCCUCAAAAGAAAUUGUCAUACCACUCAAUUUUAUUUAUUUAUUGUCACCGUUGCAGUUACUAAUCUUCUAGUGCACGUCUAGCCUCCUUUCUCACCGGCUAAAUCCAACUCCGGCCAGAUCGGCCACUCAUCUGCAGUCCAUUAAGAGAAACCAGAUCGACGGUGCUCUUCCACUACCCGAUGUCUACCUCUUCCUCAUCUGCCGUUGCCAGUGAUUCCCUGCCAGGAUUGCGGCGAGCAGAUCAAAGCUUGUACCCAAUUUUGAAACAAUCAAAUUGUCUUCAGGAUUUUCGGCAAAACCGCAAAUCGCCUUCUCGAGUGCAUUAGCUCGAUUAGGACACAACAUCCUGCCUGAUGCGGCAGCACCAAUCCUCACUCUGCAAAAUAAUCCAUGUAAACAACGAGUGUCAGGUAUAGUAUAUAUCACAUAAACACCACAAGUCAUUCUACAACCAAAAAAUUGAAUACUCUGUUGCGCCGCAUAACAGUUUACUCAGGAUGCAUUGCUACAGCCAUGCAGUUCAGAUCACGCAACAGAUUUUAACAAAUGUACGGGCUAAUUUAUUAAUUUGUCCAUUCUUUUCAUACUUAAGGCUUAGAAUCAGACACCAGACAACAAUCAGGAUCAACAAGAGCACAAACUUCUAUACUAAAUCUGACACUUUCUUUACUCAGGGGUAGACUAUGUCCAUAGUUCACAGCAAACAAGACUGAUUCCUACAAUUUUGGUGGGUCGAACACAGCACGUUCCUGGUUGCUACAAUUUUCCACUUACAUAUGAAAUCAUUCAAAAAAUCACCACUCAUAUACUGUCUCGCUUUUACAUAUGAAUAGCCCAAUGUGUCCCUACAAAUUGCACAUCUGCAUAAUGCCAUACCUUCGCGUCCACCCCAGGAGCUUUCGGGUCGUCCUGCUUAAUCGGCUGCUCAGAUCCUUGCAGCGAAUGCAUUCGUCGCCGCCUCCGCCGGACAGAUCUCCCCGUCGGCACUCACUUUCCUCAUGGGCGCCAGCUGUUCCAUAACCAGUGCGACGACUGGGUAGUGCAGAGGCUCCAUCGGAGCUCUCAGUCACCUCUUUCAGCAUGGUUGUACUGCAUAACAAAAUUGGCAAAACGUAAGAUCCAUAUCAGGGUACACUAUCAAAAUCACUCGGAACACAUAAAAAUUGGUCAUAUUCGAGCACUCUAAUUGGCUGCAUCAAAAACUCCAUCUUCAGUGCCUACCUUCUUGUUUCCUACAAAAGUUUGUCCGCCGAGGCCACCGCUCUCCCUGGAAGGAUCCACGCGCCUGAGGUAGGAGAUAAUUGUAUCCUGCACCCCAUCCGUGCAUUAACUCGGUUGCUGUCGCAAUUCACGGAAAGCAAGUUUCCGGAUCCACGGACCGGCAUGGACGUUGAUGCCCCGAGCCACGGCUCUGCUUCACUGGUUUCAGCCUUCGAGCCAUAUUAGAGUACCCUUGGUUCGUUUGGGCUUUCAGGUCAUUAAUCUCUUUAAACUUGCAUUCUUUCACAGAAAUGGCCUGAUGUUCCAUUGUCUUCUCUUUCCUUGCAAACUAAAAUAUCAGUUUUUUUUUAAGAUAAGAUGUAACAUAAAAAAACACAAUACGUAACACGAGAAGGGGAAUACAGUCAAUACACAAUCACAUAAUUCUCACAUAACACCAUCACAUAAUUUCUCUAGAUACUAUUAAAAAAUAACCUACAAUAUAUUAAUCCAAAAGGCAAAAACAUGCUAAGGGAGGAAAGAGAGUCUUGAUACAUUUGGAGGUGUGGUACCUUUUCUUUUUCUUGCAAACAUUAAUUGCCUCUCUUGAUUUGGGUGAUACAGAUGAACUUGCAACCUGUUUCCUUUCCAAGAAGUCUGCAAGUUUUUGAACAUAUGCUAUGAAGUACUUCGGAGGAGUAUUGAUCUGUAUAUUUACUAUGAAGGACACCAUUAGAGUAGCAGAGAUGUAAUUACCAGGUAAUGCCCUGUUUUAAAAAGACGAAAAUUAUAUGUUGAAAAAAAAAGUCAAAACAUUGCUAGAGCAGGAAGUAGUUUCUGUUACGUGGGGAAAUCAUAAUGGAAGGCGCAAGGCAGCAGGGGCAGGUUAUGCUGUGGCUAGACAAGGGCAGUUCGAUGUCGUAGAAGGAUGCAUCUGUUUUGGUAGACUCCUGAUUCUAUUAAGGUAGUAUUUGAGUCAGAUUCCUAUUAGAGUCCGAAGUAUGUCAAAGUGGUACUAGUCCAUGUCCUAUAUAAAGGACCUACCCGUGUAAUCUUAGAGCAUCUCCAAUAGAAGAUGCAAAUUUGGAGAUGUAAAAAUGUACAUCUCCAAAAAGUGCUUUUUGCCUCUCCAGAAAGGCCCACUCCAACAGAUGAUGCAAAAAGGAGAUGUAAAAGAGCAACACCAAUAGAAGAUGCAAAUGAAGAUGUAAAAUUGUACUUCAACUAGUACUCAGACCGGUGACGGUGGGCGAGGAGGCGGGGCGGGGCGGCGGUGCGGGGCUGCGGGCGGAUUGAGUGGCNNNNNNNNNNNNNNNNNNNNNNNNNNNNNNNNNNNNNNNNNNNNNNNNNNNNNNNNNNNNNNNNNNNNNNNNNNNNNNNNNNNNNNNNNNNNNNNNNNNNNNNNNNNNNNNNNNNNNNNNNNNNNNNNNNNNNNNNNNNNNNNNNNNNNNNNNNNNNNNNNNNNNNNNNNNNNNNNNNNNNNNNNNNNNNNNNNNNNNNNNNNNNNNNNNNNNNNNNNNNNNNNNNNNNNNNNNNNNNNNNNNNNNNNNNNNNNNNNNNNNNNNNNNNNNNNNNNNNNNNNNNNNNNNNNNNNNNNNNNNNNNNNNNNNNNNNNNNNNNNNNNNNNNNNNNNNNNNNNNNNNNNNNNNNNNNNNNNNNNNNNNNNNNNNNNNNNNNNNNNNNNNNNNNNNNNNNNNNNNNNNNNNNNNNNNNNNNGCCGGUCAUGCGGGCGGGGCAGCAGCGGUGCGGGAAUGCGGGCAGGGCGGCGGGGGUGUAGGGAUGCGCCCGGUGAUACGGGUGGGUGGCGGCGGUGCGGUGAUGCGGGCGGGACGGUGGCGACGAUGGAAUCGAGCUGUGGCGAAAAAACACCCGAUUCGCGGAGUGCGGCGGCGGCUGACGGUCGAAACCGGCGGCGGGGUGCCGGAGGGGUCGGGUGGGCGGCGGCGAAUUUGGGCGAAUUCGGCCAGCGACUGGUCGCGUGGAAGUGAAAUGAACGACAAUUGGGUAGUUGGCGGACGGUUGCGUUUUUACAUCCCCAUAUGCUGGAGAUGCAAAUUUGCACUGCGAGGCGUUGUAGUUUACAUCUCCGGGAGGCGGAGAUGUAAUUUUUUUGCAUCUACAUCAUCUGUUGGUGAAGGGUUUUGGGCCUUGGAGAUGCAAAAGUUAGUUAUUUUUGGAUCUACAUCUUCUAUUGGAGAUGCUUUUAGAGGCAAGCAAUAAUCAACAAAGUCUAAUUUCCCUGAUCUCUGUUCUCUAUCACUAAUCCCUGCUACCUUCUACUACUGCGGCGGCGACGGCGCCGCACCGUCGGCCCUCAAGCACCUGCAGGCUGUUCCAGUUUCACUUGUACCAAUCCUCUUGUGGUUUUGCCUGCUGACAAAACCUACAACUUCGACUUACAAUUAUUUACAGUCCACCUACUACCUAGGGCUAGUUACACUUCAUGAUCUUGUUUUCCAUCCCGACCUGCAUCACUGGAUUUUUAGAUUGGAUUUUCUGGUGGUAGCUCUUAAUCCUCACAUAAGGCAAAUGACUUAAUCCUCACUCUGUAUCAGUUAAGUAACUAUGCUGUAGCAUUCUUCAAGGUAAAAACAAGCAUUCAAAUUCGCACUCUGAUUGUAUUUUCUUAACUAUGUUGUAGCAUUUGUUUCCAAGGUAACACAAGCAUUCAAAUUUGCACUCUGAUUAUAUUUUCUUACCUAUGCAGUAAGACUUGUUUUCAAGGUAACACAAGCAUUGAAAUUCGCACAUGUUUAUUCAGUACUGUCACGAAGUGGCUGCAGUGUUCAUGCUUAGAAAAUGCUAUCACAACCAAAUUGCUUAACCCUUUCAGUAUCUAAAUUCCUGAUAUAAUCAUAUAUUCUUGUAGCAGACCUAAUUCUUACUAAGAAGUCAUGCUACCUCCAUGUACAGCUUGUGUGGUAGGUAUCACAGAUCCUUCAGACUACCAUGAUUAAAAUUCAAGAAUUGUACAACUACAUACUGCCAUACCUUUGGGUCCAGCCAGGGGGUUCAGGAUUCAUCUUGCCAAUCGACUACUUGGAUGCCCAUGGUGAACCUCCUCCCUCCGCAGCCGCUGCCCCCUGCGCCUCACAGAUCUGCCCUUCGGCGUUCAGCUCCUGCAUCGGCGACAACGUUUGCUCGGCAACUGGUUUGGUCAUCGGACAAUCUAACGACUCCAUCAGGACGUCGCUGUGAUUAACAGCCUCCAACACGGUCAAUCUUCUAGUGCAGAAGAAAGAAAUGGGAAAUCGAUAAUGGCUCAGAAGCAAAACUAAAGCGACCAGAGACAACUGCCCCACGCGCUGCUCUGGAGCGCCUCGACGUACAUGCGCGCCCUGUCCCUGACGGGGUCUAGCUCGGCCACCGUCAUCAGCGCCUGUUGGCAGCUGAGUACCGCCCACUCCUGCAGCUACCAUAAUAUUGCCUAAAAAAUACAUGUAUAUUUAUACCAUAAUAUUGCCUAAAGAAAAACAAAACUGAGACGAGGGGAAAUAAUUUCAAAGCACAUUACUAACAUGACCCAACAUGCAAACACAGCUGGAUAUCAUAAUGCAUCUUUAGACAAAUUCACAGGCAAUGUAUUUUUUUUUCAGCCACACAGAUCAUCAAUACCGGAUCAGGCACGAGACACAUCAAGCAGAAGCAAAAUAUACAUAUAUGUAAGCAUCAGCAGUACAGAAAUUCAGUGAAUGAAAUAGGAGAGAUGAUUCUUGUGAUGGAUUACAAUGUGACAUAAUGAUUAAUGGAGUUACUCCUGUUUCAGCUUGCUCAACAAGAAGGUUGCAAAUGGCAUCACACAUUGCCUGAAAGACAUUAAUCAAGCACAUCUCAGAUGAUA
rnacentral:lncRNA from 1 species